rnacentral:rRNA from 1 species
UACGGAGGUGGCAAGCGUUGCUCGGAAUCACUGGGCGUAAAGGGCGCGUAGGCGGGGAGGUAAGUCGGGUGUGAAAUCCCUCGGCCCAACUGAGGAACUGCGCCCGAGACUGCUUCUCUUGAGUACCGGAGAGGAUGGCGGAAUUCCCCAAGUAGAGGUGAAAUUCGUAGAUAUGGGGAGGAACACCGGUGGCGAAGGCGGCCAUCUGGACGGAUACUGACGCUGAGACGCGAAAGCGUGGGAAGCAAACAGG